rnacentral:rRNA from 1 species
GCUCAUUAAAUCAGUUAUAGUUUAUUUGAUAAUCGAAAGUCACAUGGAUAACCGUGACAAAUUACAGCUAAUACAUGCAGUCAGACCUGGUCCAAGGGUCGUAAUUAUUAGAUAUUAAACCUCUUCCUUCGGGAUUGUGACGAAUCAUAGUAAUCGAACGAAUCGCAGUGUGCUGCGAUAAAUCAUUCAAGUUUCUGCCCUAUCAGCUUUGGAUGGUAGUGUAUUGGACUACCAUGGCAGUCACGGGUAACGGAGAAUUAGGGUUCGAUUCCGGAGAGGGAGCCUGAGAAACGGCUACCACAUCUACGGAAGGCAGCAGGCGCGAAAAUUGCCCAAUCCUGACACAGGGAGGCAGUGACAAGAAAUAACUACCCUAGGAUUUCUUAGGAGUGUAAUGAGGAUAAUCUACAAACCUUACCGAAAGCAAUUGGAGGGCAAGUCUGGUGCCAGCAGCCGCGGUAAUUCCAGCUCCAAUAGCGUAUAUUAAAGUUGUUGCAGUUAAAAAGCUCGUAGUUGAAGUUCUGGUUGCUAGGACGUUGCGCCCUCGGGCCGGCGGGCCUACAGCCAUCCGCCUGUAAGUAUGUGUCUAUCCUUCACUGGGUAUCCAUAUGAGCAGGCAUUUUACCUUGAGAAAAACAGAGUGUUCCAGGCAGGUAUGUCCGGAAUGCAUUAGCAUGGAAUAAUAGAAUAUGACUGAAGUCUCUUUAUUGGUUUAAGGCUACAGUAAUGAUUAAUAGGAACAGUCGGGGGCAUUAGUACUUGACAGUCAGAGGUGAAAUUCUUGGAUUUGUCAAAGACUAACUAAUGCGAAAGCAUUUGUCAAGGAUGUUUUCAUUAAUCAAGAACGAAAGUUAGGGGAUCAAAGACGAUCAGAUACCGUCCUAGUCUUAACUAUAAACCAUACCGACUCGGAUUCAGAUGAAUCGUAAAGUUCAUUUGGGACCGUAGGAGAAAUCAAAGUCUUUGGGUUCUGGGGGGAGUAUGGUCGCAAGGCUGAAACUUAAAGGAAUUGACGGUUUUGCACCACCAUGGAGUGGAGCCUGCGGCUUAAUUUGACUCAACACUGGGAAACUCAUCAGGGCAAGAAGAUUGUAGGAUUGACAGAUUGAGAGUUCUUUCUUGAUUGGUCUAGUGGUGGUGCAUGGCCGUUCUUAGUUGGUGGAGUGAUUUGUCUGGUUAAUUCCGUUAACGAACGAGACCUUAACCUGCUAACUAGUACUGUGAUCCCAAAUCGCAGCUACUUCUUAGAGGGACUAUGCGUGGUAAUCGCAUGGAAGUUUGAGGCAAUAACAGGUCUGUGAUGCCCUUAGAUGUCCUGAGCCGCACGCGUGCUACAAUGACACACUCAACGAGUAUUUCCUGAUUCGAAAGAAUUUGGGCAAUCUUUUUAGGAUGUGUCGUGUUAGGGAUAGUUCUUUGUAAUUAUGGAUCUUGAACGAGGAAUUCCUAGUAGGUGCAAGUCAUCAGCUUGUACCGAUUACGUCCCUGCAAAAUGUACACACCGCCCGUCGCUAUUGCCGAUUGAGUGCUCAGGUGAACCUUCCUGAUUGUCGCAAGAUGAAAAGUUAAGUAAACCUUAGCACUUAGAGGGAAUAAAAGUCGUAACAAGGUUUCC